AAAUGUAACCGGCGGGCUGCAGCGGGUGCCCUGGGCCCCGGAGAGACCUUGCGAACACACCGCAGGCCGGGUCAGGGAAGCGGCUGCAUUGCUUGGCCUAACUACUGCUGGGGUUUCCGAGGGUGCCGGCCGCUUUGGGGUCUACAGCUCGGAGGCCGGGGCGCAGCAUCCCAGGUGGCUAGGGGCAUCCCAGGGGGCCAUCCCAGGGGAGCAUCCCAGGGGGGCAUCCCAGGGGGCACCCCAGGGGGCAUCUCAGGGGGCCAUCCCAGGGGGGCAUCUCGGGGGGGGGCAUCCCAGGAGGCAUCCCAGUGGGCCAUCUCGGUGGGGGGGGCAUCCCAGGGGGCCAUCCCAGGGGGGCAACCCCGGGGGGGGGGGGACAUCCCAGGAGGCACCCCAGGGAGCCAUCCCAGGUGGGCAUCUCAGGGGGAUACCCCAGGGGGGCAUCCCGAGGGGGGCAUCCCAGGGGGGACAUCCCAGGACGCACCCCAGGGGGGCACCCCAGGGGAGCAUCUCAGGGGGGCAUCCCAGGGGGGCACCCCAGGGGGCCAUCGCAGGGGGGCAUCAUCUCAGGGGGCACCUCAGGGGGCACCCCAGGGGCAUCCCAGGGGGGCAUCUCAGGGGGGGCAUCCCAGGAGGCACCCCAGGGGGCCAUCCCAGGCGGGCGUCUCAGGGGCCACCCCAGGGGGCUUCCCAGGGGGGCAGCGCGCGCAUCCCGCCGCACGCCGCCGGGACUGGGGCCUCGGGAGCUGUGACCCGGGUCGCGGGAGCGUCCGAGCGCCGCGUCCACGGAACGGGGGGUCCCGCGCGCCGCGGCAGGUGCACGGCGGGGCGGGGGGCGAGGCUGGCGGCUCGGGGACCUCGGCGACCUCGGGGACCUGGGGGACCCGGGGGACCGCGAGCGCGCUGUGCCCCCGCCCCGGCCCCGCCGAGCAACCCCGACUGCACCAACUCCGAGUCUUCCGGAUGGCGGCGGAGAAGGGCUCGGGCGCUCUCCGGGGCGCUCUCCGGGGCGCUCUCCGGGGCGCUCUCCGGGGCGGCGGGCGGCGGGCGGCGGGGCCGGGGCUCGGAGCGCGCUCGGGGCUCGGGAGCCUCCCGCCGCCCCGCCCGGACACGUGCCCGCGCCGCUACAUAGGCCUCGCCGCCGCAGCCCGCAGCAGCAGUAGUCGUGGCCGAGUGGUUAAGGCGAUGGACUAG
rnacentral:lncRNA from 1 species